rnacentral:rRNA from 1 species
AGUGAACGCUGGCGGUAGGCCUAACACAUGCAAGUCGAACGGCAGCACAGUAAGAGCUUGCUCUUACGGGUGGCGAGUGGCGGACGGGUGAGGAAUACAUCGGAAUCUACUUUUUCGGGGGGGAUAACGUAGGGAAACUUACGCUAAUACCGCAUACGACCUACGGGUGAAAGCAGGGGAUCUUCGGACCUUGCGCGAUUGAAUGAGCCGAUGUCGGAUUAGCUAGUUGGCGGGGUAAUGGCCCACCAAGGCGACGAUACGUAGCUGGUCUGAGAGGAUGAUCAGCCACACUGGAACUGAGACACGGUCCAGACUCCUACGGGAGGCAGCAGUGUGGAAUAUUGGACAAUGGGCGCAAGCCUGAUCCAGCCAUACCGCGUGGGUGAAGAAGGCCUUCGGGUUGUAAAGCCCUUUUGUUGGGAAAGAAAAGCAGCAGGUUAAUACCCCGCUGUUCUGACGGUACCCAAAGAACAAGCACCGGCUAACUUCGUG